rnacentral:rRNA from 1 species
UACGAAGGGGGCUAGCGUUGCUCGGAAUCACUGGGCGUAAAGCGCACGUAGGCCGAUUGUUAAGUCAGGGGUGAAAUCCUGGAGCUCAACUCCAGAACUGCCUUUGAUACUGGCGACCUUGAGUCCGGGAGAGGUGAGUGGAACUGCGAGUGUAGAGGUGAAAUUCGUAGAUAUUCGCAAGAACACCAGUGGCGAAGGCGGCUCACUGGCCCGGUACUGACGCUGAGGUGCGAAAGCGUGGGGAGCAAACAGG